UUAGCAACCUCUAUACUGUAACAUAUGAUGGGGGGAAAGCAAAGCCAGGGAGUUUGAGGACAGCGGUGUCGCAGAGACACAAACCAUCUUGCCUCAGCACAGAUCCGCUACAGUGUAAUCAGCAGGUACGCUCCGUCAUAUCAAGUGUCAUAAUAUUUAGCUCUUCCACCCGACACAUAGCCGGGCAACAGAGCGGCGACUUGGUUGUGUUCUACUCCAGCUCCACGGCUUUUCCAACUUGGUGUUUACACUUGAAGCCGUCACCUCGUCCUGUGCAGCUCAUGAGCUUGUUGUUGUCGCUCGUCAGGCUGGUGAUGGACUCCUUCACAUGACGAUAUCAUUCUGUUUGAAGAAAGCUGUGGGAGCCCUGGCCAUCUGGGCCUGCAGGGCCCGUCCCCCAGAGGCCUCGCCCCAAAGGCACCCCUCUGCGCCGCACAGAGGAGAUGUGGCGUAGCCUGUGCAGCGCCGAGGAAGAGGAGGCAGGCUGCGCUGCCGGAGAAACGCCAGCAUAUUGGGAGUUCGGACACGUGCUCCCCCCAAGGCACGGAUCAGCACGUGUUUCUAAGUUGCGAUGCUUCCCUCUUCUUCCCAAAUCUUCUCAUCUCGCCCAAAAGACACAGAUGGCCCAGUCAAGACGGUUUACGUGAGCAGUAGUGUGAUUUCGCAUCAAAGUCAAUUAGAGCUUACGUUCCUCGACAGUUGGUGAAAGUUCUGCCGAUGGUCGUGAGUCACAAUCGGCGGUGAAUACAACAACUGAUGAACAAUAAACAAACUGCAUUAAAGAACAGCGAAUGAAAGGAAAAGGGGAAAAAAACAAACCCUGAUUCCAUCCUCUCCAUAUAAAUAUUCAUUCAAAUUACUGAAUUUAUACGUGUUAUAUACGUGUUAUUGUCAUUUGUUAUAACUGUUUUAAUUGUUAUACAAUUGUCUGCAGAUUUUAUUUAAAAUACCUGAUUUGCUCAGUCAUUUUAAAAAAAGGCACAACCACAGAGUCGAGCCAGUGACUGUUGUGCCCACGUCCUCGGACAAUCCGGGCUACUCUAGCUCUGGGAAACCACAGUUCAUGUUGAUAACUAUUGAUUGGACGGCCCAGAGCCACCAAAACAUUACAGUAUUCCCCUGUAAGAUAUUGUUUGACAUUGCUCUUGCAACAAGGACUGGACUGGCGUCAUGUGACAGCCAAAUCAGACUGUUUCAUAUUUAUUAGGUCACAGUUAUAUAUAGUGUUAAAUGUAGAUCUGGCUUCUUUUUUUUCUAACAUGACAGCAUCUGUGAGGCACGAACGCAGUGGAAACUCCAAUCAGGCAGCUAAUGAGAUACAGUGUUAUACUGGCUUGUAAUGAAACCACAGAAUUCCUGUCAACGUAAACCUAUAGCUCAUCUUUUAUUCACGCAGAAUUAUUUCAACAGAGCGUUUUUUUCGUCCCAGACGGCUUCACCUGCCAGGGGUCACUGCUAGCUCGGAGGGUCCGCAGCAUCGCCGGUUGUUGCAGUGAUGCAACGCGGAGGAGUGAACAUCUCCACAACUCUCCUUGGCCGCCACCAAUGUCAUCACAAGAGUUUUAUCCGCGUGUGUGUACUGAAUAAAGUUGAUGCGAGCAGA